UACGGGAGGCAGCAGUGGGGAAUAUUGCACAAUGGGCGAAAGCCUGAUGCAGCUAUGCCGCGUGUAUGAAGAAGGCCUUAGGGUUGUAAAGUACUUUCAUCGGGGAGGAAAAACAAAACUAAUAAUUUUAUUUCUUGACGUUACCCGAAAAAGAAGCACCGGCUAACUCCGUGCCAGCAGCCGCGGUAAUACGGAGGGUGCUAGCGUUAAUCAGAAUUACUGGGCGUAAAGAGCACGUAGGUGGUUUUUUUAAGUCAGAUGUGAAUCCCUGGGCUUAACCUAGGAACUGCAUUUUGAAACUGAAAUACUAGAGUAUCGUAGAGGGAGGUAGAAUUCUAGGUGUAGCGGUGAAAUGCGUAGAUAUCUGGAGGAAUACCUGUGGCGAAAGCGGCCUCCUAAACGAAUACUGACACUGAGGUGCGAAAGCGUGGGGAGCAAACGAGGGAUUAGAUACC
rnacentral:rRNA from 1 species